UACGUAGGGGGCAAGCGUUAUCCGGAAUUACUGGGCGUAAAGCGCACGCAGGCGGUUCGCCAAGUUUGGAGUGACAGUUGUCGGCUCAACCGACAAAGGACUUCAAAAACUGGUGAACUUGAGGACGAGAGAGGAACAUGGAACUCCAGGUGUAGUAGUGAAAUGCGUAGAUAUCUGGAAGAACACCAAUGGCGAAGGCAAUGUUCUGGGCAGUAACUGACGCUGAGGAGCGAAAGCGUGGGGAGCGAACAGG
rnacentral:rRNA from 1 species